UACGUAGGUGGCAAGCGUUGUCCGGAUUUACUGGGCGUAAAGAGCGCGCAGGCGGUCGUUCAAGUCGCGUGUGAAAGCCCCCGGCUCAACUGGGGAGGGUCACGCGAUACUGAUCGACUCGAAGGCAGGAGAGGGUAGUGGAAUUCCCGGUGUAGUGGUGAAAUGCGUAGAUAUCCGGAGGAACACCAGUGGCGAAGGCGACACGCUGGGCCGUACCUGACACUGAUGCGCGACAGCAUGGGGAGCAAACAGG
rnacentral:rRNA from 1 species